AAACAACAAAUGUUUUAUUGGAUGAGUAGUAUUAACCAGAUUUGUAGCUGAACAUUGCUUGCAUGCAGAUAUUGCAGAUGUAUCGCUUCUGGGCACAAAAAAGCAUGGUAGGAUCACAAGUCUUAUCUACAAACUCAGAAAUUUCAGGUAAGUAGGAUAAAGUGUUUUCUGAAAGGAAUUUAAGCAGCUAGUAACUGGUGAAGAGGAGAUGUCAACUGUUUAUGAGAGGGUUAAAAGUUUUCCAUAGAGUUCAUGCUGGUUAUAGUACUAAAUGUUGAUUAGAACUCCAGGGACUGUACUCCCACUAGCUGCUGGAGCUGGAAACAGCAUGUAAAACAGCAUGUCAGAUAAAUAGCUCGGGGCAUAGGAAAGGAACAGCCAAAAGAACUUUGCAUCCCAUCCAGCUGCAUAUCGUGUCCUGGGGUACUUUGCUAACAGGGCAUGUUCCAUGCAUUUUAUUACCUUAGAAAUAUCAGAGUUGCACAGUCUUUUCACUGAUGAUCUUUGAGCUUUUCUAUCUACAAAGAAGAAAACAAACUGGAAGUAUGUAUACAACAUUCUUUGUGAGAGAAUUGUUUUCAUUUACAGGUUUUUCUACAGCUUCUGUAGAUUUAUAAUAAGGGUUGCCUUAAACUGCUGGCUCAAGUACAGUGGGUGGCAUAGCUGUAGCAGAGCAGAGACAAGCAAGUGCUGCAGAAUCCAAAGAACCAGAGCUUUAGAUAAAUAGCGACGCUUCUGGAAGGUCAGCCUGUGCCUGGAGGGAGAGGCCGAAGGUUCAGCACUGCUUCUGUAAAGAGCUUCUCAGAAGGAGGUGACAGCAGUGGUUACCCUGACCAGGAACGUGCCGCUUUCUACAGCCUGGACGCAGAGGCCUGUGCAGGAUCAGCCUCUCAGAGAAGCUGCUAGCAAAUUCCAGGUGCACUCAUAAAUAGGAGAUUAGGUUCAUCCUGCAGAGACAUCUCAAUUCCCUUGAGUGGAAUC
rnacentral:lncRNA from 1 species